ACCCGUCCUCUUCUCUGCCCGCCGCAGCCUCGCUCCCCCUUCGACCUAGAACCUCCUGUGGCGGCAGGCCAGCGAGCAGAGAGAGAGAGAGAGAGAGAGAGAUGAGCGCCCCUUCUCCUGCAGUCCCGCCCCCCCUCCCAGCCUCAAUCUGCCGGCGGGGAAUUUAGGAUUCCAGCGAGCAGGGGCGCAUCGGUGAUCCUUUGGCGCGCGGCUGCGACGGAAAUGGACUCGCCGGGUGUCCAUGGCGGAUGGCGGCGGCGACAGCGCGGAGACCUAUGUGGUCUGCCUGCAGAGCGUCGGCUCCACGAGAGCGAGUCGGAGGAUUUGGAAGGAGAGAUGGAUCCAAGCACUCUACGCAAUGAUAGGAUGAUUGCUCUUUCAACAUAUUCUAUUAGCGAGGAUGGCAAGUGAAAGUGGGAGCGACUGGAUCACUAUUCCUAUCAUGCAUUGUAGACAUGAUGCAUUGGACAUCUGUCUACAAAUUGUCCUCGGAUGAGGAAAUUCCAAUUAUCUUGCUGUGGUGUGCUGCUCUUUUUUGGCACUCAUUUUAUAUCACUACAAUUGUUCAAACAACAUGGAGGGUCGGUAAGGACGUCGUGGAUGCUGUAAGUUUGCUUGUCCUUGUAUGCCUUGCUUUCCCAUUUAGUAUGUAUAUCACUUUAUUCAAUUAAGAAAGGCAUUUUAGACCCUCACGGUAAGAAGUCGUCUCAAGAAGAGUGGCGCCAGAAUAACCAUAGCUGUCAAUAGGCGGAAGUGGGCAAGCGCGAAAGCCAUAUGUUGAGCUGGAGGCGGUGCAUUGCCAACAGAAGGAGGCAUGGUAGUCGAAGGAGAUGGCGCAUUAGAAGAAUCUACAACACGCGGACCACCAAUGUGGUAAAGAAGAGGGGAGGGGGGAGGUGUAUCGCUGGAGAAGCCUCAGGGGACGAGCGAGGUGAGGCAGCCUCAGGUAACGAAUGAGGUGGGGAAGCCGUAGGUGACGACGACAUGGGGUUUACUAUAAUAGUAUGGAAGACACGGUGGGAUGGGUGGACAAGGACAAACCAUGAUUGAUAGGUGUAUCAGGAAAAGUAAGGAAAGAAAUGUCCUCAAUAGGAGGAUGGACGUGGAUAGAAAGGAUGAAACUCAUCAAAAGUCACAUCCGAGAAAUGCGCAUCCGCCGAACGAUUUGAUCCCAACACUGAUGUGCUCAUCACUUCAACCUAAGAACACACAUUCAAUAGAUUGAGGAGUCUGUUUGGUGUGUUGGGUGGGGGAGGGGGGCAAGAAGAACAUAGCAAACGUAACGAAACAAACGAAGUGCUGAAUAAUCACGAGAAUGACCAAAAAGACGCUUCAGAGAAAUUACACCACGCUGAUGGUUGAAUCUUGAUGAGAUAGGUGAAAGUAGAGCAACGUCAACCCAUAAGUAACGCGGAAGAGAGCCGGUGAUCAUCAACGCAUGAACCGCCUCAAGAAGGUGACGAUGCUUGCGCUCAUCAACACCAUAAUUUGAACACGUGGACAAGAGAACUGAACAAGUGUGCCCUACUCAGCAAAGAAUCCACGCAGCAAAUGAGAGAUAUACUCACGAGCAGAAUCUGCACGGAAGACAUGGGCAUGAGUGGAAAACUGAGUAUGAACCAUGGUGGCAAACUUCUUAGGGCGAGUGCUUUUGCUGCCUUUUUGGGCUUCCAGAAUAAGCUGCCCCCUACCCAACUUAUUCUAGAAACCCAACCAAAUUUAUUUUUAGAAGCCUAUAAAAACCCAACCAAAUUUAUUUUGUUGGGUUUCUAGAAUAAGCUAGGUAGGGCGCAACUUAUUCCAGCUAUUUCUAGAAGCCACCAAAAGAACUGUGUGUCAAGAGAAAUGAUCUAUGGAGAAUAUAGUAGUGAUGGCCUCCUUUCGAGGCAAAGGGAGCUGGACCCCAAACAUCAGAGGUAACAAGAUCGAAAGGACGUUGAGACACCGUCUCGCUAUGAGGAUAAAGUAAUUGAACUUGUUUACCAAGCCGACAAACCUGAUGGUCUAAAAACACAAUGCUAAAGACAGAUCCAAGAAGACCAUGUCGAACUAGGUCUGAGGGACGAGAGCCACACAAGUGACCGAGACAAUGAUGCCACAAAGAGCCGGUAGUCAAGGUAAAAGGGGUGAAGAGAUUGAUGGCGGUGGCAGAGGGAAGGUGAAGCCUGUCAAGCUCCUGGAGGCCCUAGGAGUUACAAUGCCGAGGGCAAGCACCAAGUAGAGCACCCGUGUGACGAUCCUAAUCCAAACAAGAGUCAAAGUCGAGAUUGACUACAACCAGAGUCGACAAUCUGAUCACUUGAAAUGAGCUACAUGGUAAGUCAAGAAACUUGACCAAAAGGAGCAUGAAAAGAAAAAGUGUUAAGAUUGUCUCGAUGAUCGAUUGGGAGGGGAGUACCAUCAGCAGUAAGAACAUGAAUAGGAGAAUCUAGAGGUUUGAAUGGAGGACAAACUAGAAGAAUCAUGAGUCAUAUGAAAAGAUGCUACACUAUCAAGGAUCGAUGGAAAAUUUAGCUGACUGACUUCGUAAAAAGUGGUAUCAAUAUUGAAAGAAUCAACUACAAAACUAUUGAUGGAGAACUAAAAGAAGCAUCUAGCAGACACUGAAAUCUCGUAAUCCCCAGUGUAGUCAGGGGUUCAACUGAAGCAGUAGGUAGGUGUCGAAGUCGUGCAAUCUCCUGCGUGGUGAAGGACACCGCUGAAGUGGCCGACGUCGAAUCAUCGGAAGAGAAGUGUCCACCACCACCCGCGUAAGCCGCUAGAAGAAGCGGUGUAGCACGACAAGCACCAAGCGCGAAGGGAAGGCGCAUGUCCGAUGUAGUCGAUGGAGUGAUGUGCACCAACACUACUGAUGAAAGCCGCGAGGGGAGUCUGUGUAGAGCGACCAUCACCGUCAACAGAGGUCACGAGAGGCGACACUAUGGAGCCACCACCACAGCCUACGGAAGGCACCGGGUGGGAGCAACGUCAUAGGUGGAGGAGCAUCAAGCAUCGAUGGACGACACAUGUGCGAGAUGGGGUUAGUGUAGGGUAAGCUUGAGAAACUAUGUCCAAUGAAGUCAACACACCUGUUUUUUGUUCCUAUACUCUAAUACAAAACUAGGUCCGUCUUACAAAACAAGGGAGCAAAAGAGCAAGGAAGAGCAGCGAAUAGGGUACAUGAGGUAGGGGCAAAGCUAGUCAGCAGGAUGGGCUGCCGGGUCUGAGGUCUAGUGGCGAAGUUUGUCAUUAAGGUCCUGCGUGUAGCAAGAGGGAGCCGAUACCGUGACCUGUCAUUGAGGUCCUGCGCGUAGUAAGAGGGAGCCGAUACCGUGACCUGCAACAAAGGACGUCUUGAAGAUUGCGGUUGGCGCCAACUAGUUUGAGUUUGCGACAAUGCGUGGCCUCUUGUAGUGGUAGGGCGCUGGCCUCCCGGAGAUGGCGGCGAGGCGUUGACCUUCUAUACAUGGCGAUGAGGCGCGACCUCCUGAAGAUGUAGGCUAGAUAGCCUACGGUGCGAGCACGAGGAGGUGGCCACAAGGGGCGAGCCUGAUGGAGGCGGAGGUACGGAGAUCGGAAGGGCAUGAUGAGAGGGGCGACAUGUGGGAAUUUAUUGGGGCGCGAGAGGCCCGGACAAGGAAGGGGGUGAUCCUGAUCUAGAGGCAGCGGAGCGAUGACGAUAGUCGUCGGGAUAGACACCGACGCGGGUCAGGGAGGUGUGGUUGCACAUGAGCGUACUAGCCUGAGAAAAAUUGAUCAAAAACUUGGGAUCGAUUUGAAGAGGAACGUGAGUUGUGUGUGAGGAAGAAAUCCUAGGCUUUAAUACCAUGUUAGGAAUAUGCAACUUGUAUUCCCAGUUGGACAUAGACUAGAAGUACAUGUGUGUUGCAAUAUGCAGAAAGCCCCUUGUAUAAUGGAAAAAAUACAAAGGGUACACAACUAUAAUAUAUUACUCCAACAUGUUGAACACUUUGGCACUGUGUUCCUUCCAAAUGGUCUAGAAUGCGAGCAACACUACUGACUCGAGUUCGUAGUGCACCGAAGGUGGCAUUGUCGCCCGACGGCUAAUCCACCAGUUGGAAAGGGAAACGCCGCCCCUUAGGGGCAUUGGUGAUGCUGAAGAGGCGAACACCAAUUCUAGAUUGAUGUCGAGAAGGAACAACUGGUGAACAUGCGUUGAGAAGUCUUUGGGGCACUCAAGCAGAUGGUGUAGGCGACGUGGAUGUCCAUACAGUGGCGAUGACGAUGGUAAGUAGACCAUAAAUGGUACCUCAAGAUAUCUGCCAACCGCGUUGUUGCAACCGCAAUCCGAAGCCGAGCUUCAUCAUCGUGUCGUUGUCUCUAUAGAUUGUCGAUCGUUGAUGACCCAAGCGUUGUGUUCCUUCUAAAUUGUCUAGAUUGUGAGCAACAAUGCUGGCUUAAGAUCCUGGCGCACCAAAGAUGGAGUGGUUGCUCGACAACCAAUCCACUAGUCGGAACGGGAAAUGUCGGACCCUGGUUGUGAGGGCAAGAGUGACACCAAAGAGGCGAGCAACGAUUGCUAGAUUGCUGCUGAGGAGCAACUGAUGAACAUGUGUUUGGCAGUCUCAGGGGCACUAGAGUAGAGGGGACAUGCGACAUGGUUGACAAGACCAUGCUAAUGAUGACAACCGAUGGACCACAAACGUUUGUGGGGAGUGAGCCACAUGUGGAUCUUGCAUUUGAUGGAUGCCCACGCUUUCCACAACACUUUGUUGUGCGGGACGAGCUGGAGCCCAUGAAGAACACACGAUACGCGAAGUACUUGACGAUGUAUGUUUGCUUCCAAAGCGGGUGAUCUUCCUCCUCCUUGAGUACCAAUAUUGAUUGGAGAGCCCACGUGCGAGGCUCGUUGGGCGGUGCUGAUUAAGGUUAAGGCUCUCUUCAGUCGUCCUGCUUUUUACAUCGCCAUGCAGGUGGCUUAGGCAAUGCAAAGGACGUCAAAUUCAUACCACUUAUUAUUACACUUUUACAACAGAGUUUAAGUGUUUUGGGGAUUGGAAUCACAACCAUGCAUGGGGCUCCUUGGCUCUUUAGGCACCAUGUUAUGGUAAUUGAGGAGUAUACUGGAAUAUGUCACCCUUAUAACUCCGCAUGUGUUUGGGCUCGGAUCAUGGGUCGAUCGGACUUGCUGCAUUACAGGGUAGUGGCUAAAGCAAUGGCUUCCAAGACAGGAGAAGACGAGAAGUGUUAGAUGUGGAGCUUGGGCUAAAUGGCGUUGAAUAUGAAAGUUUGUUUGAGUGCACGUCAAGGUCAAAUUGGAGAAGCCCCCUUUGAGGUUGUUAGGGAAUGUUGAGCUAGGUAAACUGCCCAAUUGUUCCCCGUGCUAUAUGAGAAGAUGUUGCAUUUUUGCGCAAAUUAUGAUAAAAUGUUAUAGAACAAUGCAUGGAUGGGGUUCAUGAUCCAAAGAAGUUUCAGUUUAGCGAUUUUAUGAUGAUGAGUUCAUUGCUCAACCUCGUGGUAGCACUACUUGUGGAAGAUGUGGCUGGGUAGUAGAGGCCAAGGUGGUCGUGGAGGGCAAGUUGGGGCAUGCCUCGAACCGAUGUAUAAGGAGAAAGAUUAUUUUCACCCUACGAAUGGAAAUACCGGUACAUGCAAUGUUAAUGCAAACAAUGUGAAUGCAAGCGGAGUGAUUGCAGGCAACCGUGCAUCGGCCAAGGACCCUUCCUUGGCGCUAGGGGGAAGGAAAGUGUCAUGUCUUAUAAAAUACCAUGAGGGGAAAACUGGGGCGAGCAACUCAGCUCAGGGCAGCUCUUUGCAAGUUCAAGCGAAGAAAUGGUAGAGGAUGGCGGGUGUCCUGUCCAGAUAGUGUUUUCAUCGCUUCCAUGUACCUCCCUUAUACUCUCGUUUCCCGCUAAUCUGGCUUGUCGUCCUUGCCUUGUUUGCGGGUUGUGUGACACGUACUUGAUUCCGCAUUUCACGUUCCCUUGUUGGGCGUCCCUGGCCUUGGCGACAGGUAGUGGCGUGCUCUUGGGCACUCUGCGUCCUUGCGUAAGACGGAGACGGUGCCGACUGCCCGUGCUCUUGCUCCACCAUUGGUGGUGCUUGAGCUAGCGGCUAUGGCGACAACCUGCAUGAGAGCACGGGAUGUAGGAACAAGGCAGCGCACAAAACAACUUGUAGACAGGAAAAUGAUGCCCAAUUGGACUAGUAGGCAGCGGAGAGUACGCAGGGGGGUGUGGGGGAAGGGGUGAAAAAGCUGUUGGGAGCGGACUGCCUUCGCCGUCAGCCGCCUUGUUGGACCUAGAGCUGAGGGGCAAGGGGAUGACGAUAGGGGAAGCAAGGAAGAGGGAAGACAUAAGAGGGUUCCGGGAGGAGAGAGGCAUCAUCUACCACCCUACGCGUGUGCAUCAGCCGUGGCAGUGGGUGGAUCUGGUGUCUACACGUGAAUCUACUACUCGGGUUGGCAUGACGUGGUUGUUGUGGAGUGAGGUGGAAGAACUAUUGUGCCGAGUGGGUUUGUUUGGUUGUCGGCAGUUGGGCAUUUCUUCUGUGUGGCUCGCGUGCGAGUGAAAUCAUUGGAGCGGCAAUAUUGGAUUUGGGGAAGUGUGUUUAGUGCAAUUGUCGCAUGUGCUGUGCUGUAGAUGAGGCUAUGAUGCUUGUGUGGUUUUUGUGCUACUUUUCCUUGUAAAUUGGCCUGCUUUGUUUGGUUUUCGAUCCAAUUUCCCUUAUAAACCGAAGUACCCAAAUCCUCAAGCUCAUGGUGGAUCAACAACACUGAGUUUGGAGAGAUAGAAGUUGUGUGGUGCUCUAGUCCGGGCCUUCGUUAAUAAAUCGGUCAACAUCGGAAGGCACAUACUAAAGAGCAAUAAUUUGAUCUUGCACACUGGAGCACACAAAGGAAGCAUCAACACCAAUAUGCUUGGUGAGCUCAUGCUUCAAAAGGCCGCACACGAUACUGAUAGCACUUAUACUAUCUGAUAAGAGAGUAGUAGGUGUAGUGAUUGAAACACAAAAUCCUCGAGUAGCCAUCAAAGCCAAGUCACAUCUACUGUUAAAAUAGCCGUACCUCGCAACUUAGCCUCUACACUCAAACAAGAAAGUGUAGUCUGUUUCUUCAUCUUCCAGACAAUGAGAAACCACCAAGAAAAAAAUUAAGCGGAAAGGGGUGACGAAUUUGAGCGUGGGAAGAAGAGACAGCGAGAGAGUCUCAUGAAGAUCCAUGCAAUGAGAAAACCACGAAAACAUAGUAAGCAGAAAGGGAUCAAUGAAUGGGAAGAAGAGACCGCGAGUGUCCCAAGAAAUAUCGUAGAACACAUAUGUGGUGACUAGUGGAUUGAAGUGGGAGGAGAGAAAAACUGACUGGAUGUGGUGACUAUGAACGGGAUAUGAAAUGUGCGGACGAGUGAUUUAAAUAGACAAGACUCCCAACAAGAUGACGGUAGAUGGGGCUAGGAGGGGAGGUUGCCGUUACUGUUGACGAAGCUCUGAGGAGGUGGCGCACGACUUGGUGUUCAAAAUGGUUUCCUUCACAGUCAGACUUUAGACCAGGGCUUUUUACAGUGUGAAUGUGGUCGCGCUAGAGGUCUACCAUCUCUUGGAACGCUGCUGCUUUGAAGACUGACUUAAGAGCCCUGGAGUUGAUCGUGUUGGAAUUGGUCUUCGGGCUUUGUACUCGGUACAACCGGUCGAAGAUUGCAUGCUAGGAGUGCCACUCGCUCUCAUUUUAGAAGAAAAAGUCAUCUUGUCACGCGGUAGAAAUUCCCAUAUUCACAUGGGCUUCUUUGACGCACCUCGGCGUCCAUUCUCCAUAAAUUUGUGGUAUCCUUCAUUUCUGUUCCUCCUGGGCUAGCAAAUCCGAUGUCUAAGCGCCGGCGAAGCUGCCAUCUUGAUGAGGCUGGUAAUUGAACCUGCUUUGCCUGCUAUUUGCCACCAGUUCUUCAACUUUCUUUGUGCCGCUCACACCGGCGUGUCUCAACUCCCCCACGAUUUUCACCUCCUUUUCCUUGCCGUUACCAAAGCCGGAUAGAUGAAGUGGCGCCAAGCUUCUGGCAUUCUCUUUGACAAGAGGGUGCCACAAAAGCUAAAGGCAAGUUUUAUAGGACGGCGGUUUGACCCGCAAUGUUGUAUGGCGCUGAGUGUUAGCCGACUAAAAGGCGACAUGUUCAACAGUUAGGUGUGGCGGAGAUGCGUAUGUUGAGAUGGAUGUGUGGCUACACAAGGAAGGAUCGAGUCC